GGUGAAUGGAAUUGGGAACGCGGCGAGGAGGGAGGAGAAAGCUCUGGAAUUUGCCGUCUCCCGAGCGUUCAGGUUGGUGGGCGCUUUCACCAUUCAAGCCAAUAGACGAAGUGCUUCGUUUAAGGUGAGGUUGAAGGGCCCCGUGCGGAUCCCUACCAAGGUGCUCAACGUAACCACCAGGAAGUCUCCCUGUGGCGAAGGUACCAACACCUGGGAUCGUUUUGAGAUGCGGGUGCACAAGAGGGUGAUUGAUCUUGUUAGUUCACCACAUGUUGUCAAGCAGAUCACC